GACGAACGCUGGCGGCGUGCUUAACACAUGCAAGUCGAACGGAAAGGCCCCUUUGGGGGUACUCGAGUGGCGAACGGGUGAGUAACACGUGAGUAACCUGCCCUCGACUUCGGGAUAACUUCAGGAAACUGGGGCUAAUACCUGAUAGGAAUCCUUGCUGCAUGGAGGGGGUUGGAAAGCUUCGGCGGUUUUGGAUGGACUCGCGGCUUAUCAGCUUGUUGGUGGGGUAGUGGCUUACCAAGGCUUUGACGGGUAGCCGGCCUGAGAGGGCGACCGGCCACAUUGGGACUGAGAUACGGCCCAGACUCCUACGGGAGGCAGCAGUGGGGAAUAUUGCACAAUGGGCGGAAGCCUGAUGCAGCAACGCCGCGUGCGGGAUGACGGCCUUCGGGUUGUAAACCGCUUUCAGCAGGGGCGAAGCUUGUGGUGACGGUACCUGCAGAAGAAGCACCGGCUAACUACGUG
rnacentral:rRNA from 1 species